rnacentral:rRNA from 1 species
UACGAAGGGUGCAAGCGUUAAUCGGAAUUACUGGGCGUAAAGCGUGCGUAGGUGGUUUUUUAAGUCUGCUGUGAAAGCCCUGGGCUCAACCUGGGAAUGGCAUUGGAAACUGGCGACCUAGAGUGCGGUAGAGGGUAGUGGAAUUCCUGGUGUAGCAGUGAAAUGCGUAGAGAUCGGGAGGAACAUCCGUGGCGAAGGCGACUACCUGGACCAGCACUGACACUGAGGCACGAAAGCGUGGGGAGCAAACAGG